AACUUUAGGCUAAGGGUAAUUGUACCAUUGGCUUUGGGUGUUUUCCAAAAAAAUUUUGGAGAUGGCCGACUCAUCAACUUCUUCAAUAAACAAAUCAAAACCCUAAUCCCUCACCCACCAGUCCACCACCGCCCUCAUGUCUCCCACCACUAUCGUUCGUCGCCAACCCACACCAGCGGAGAAACCGUGACAACUAGAUGAACGGUUGCAUUGGAGCAGACGCAACGACAACUUUUAGGGUUCAUGUGCGCAUCUCCUCGCCGGGAUUCGGUGCAUUUUUGGUCCAGCUUUUCUAAUUAGGCAUAUUUAUGUUACGAGAGGGUAGUUGUAGUUUUGAUGUUGAUGGCUUCCAUCCUCUCAACAUUGGCAAACUUGCUAUGAAAGGCAAAGAUACACUCUUUCUUCCCUACACCCCAGAGGUAACAUAUGCCUUUUUAUAACUUAAUUACAUAUGUUAAGAUAUUUCUGGGUUUAGUGUUUUGGGGUUCUUAGAACCCACUCUAUAUGGAUGCCCAAAACCGAUCUGCCAUUGACGUCAAGCAAAGCUGCCAAGUAGCGUGCGUGUGCAAAAGAAAGAUUGGAUAUUUACAUAACAUUAAAAGAUCUUUAUAUGUUGAAUCUUAAAUGUUCAUAUCGCGGGGAUUUGUUAUUGUGAAAGAACUUGAGCAACUUGAGCGUCAACUUGAAUUUACUUUGAGUCAAAUUUGGUGCAUAAGGGUAUGUUUAGUGUGUUUCUACUAGCUAUAUAAUCUGAGGAGGUGUUUGAAUGAUUCAUCUCGGAUAUGGAUGGCGGGGAUUUGAUUGGAGUACCGGCGAUAGUUCAGUCAAACUCCGCAGAAGUAGAACAGAAGGAAUAGACAAUGGUUGGAUGAAAAUGGGUUUGAAUCGCGAGUAAAAGGAAGGGGCUUUUUGAUUCGCGGGUGGGCAACACAAGUUCUGAUCCUAUCGCACCGAGCCGCAGGUUUUUUCUUGACACCUUGCUGUGUCUGUAGGUUUUUUUUUUCUCAGAAAAGUAGAAUUUGAUUUCUUAAAAUGUCAUCUUUAUUUAUGCCUUUGUAUAAUAAACCAAAUCGCAAUCAAGUUACUUACGUUUC